GACGAACGCUGGCGGCGUGCCUAAUACAUGCAAGUCGAACGCAGUGGGGACGGGUGAGUAACCCGUGGGUAACCUCCCAUCAGAGGGGAUAACACUUGGAAACAGGUGCUAAACCGAUACUGAUGGAUGGACCCGGGUGGCAUUAGCUAGUUGGGGAGGUAAAGGCUCACCAAGGCCACGAUGAAUAGCUGGUCUGAGAGGGUGAUCGGCCACACUGGAACUGAGACACGGUCCAGACUCCUACGGGAGGCAGCAGUAGGGAAUCUUCGGCAAUGGGCGAAAGCCUGACCGAGCCAUGCCGCGUGUGUGAAGAAGGUUUUCGGAUCGUAAAGCUCUUUUGUUAGAGAAGCGGUAUCUAACCAGAAAGCCACGGCUAACUACGUGCCAGCAGCCGCGGUAAUAC
rnacentral:rRNA from 1 species